rnacentral:rRNA from 1 species
UACGGGGGGGGCAAGCGUUGUUCGGAAUUACUGGGCGUAAAGGGCUCGUAGGCGGCCAACUAAGUCAGACGUGAAAUCCCCAGGCUUAACCUGGGAACUGCGUCUGAUACUGGAUGGCUUGAAUCCGGGAGAGGGAUGCAGAAUUCCAGGUGUAGCGGUGAAAUGCGUAGAUAUCUGGAGGAAUACCGGUGGCGAAGGCGGCAUCCUGGACCGGCAUUGACGCUGAGGAGCGAAAGCGUGGGGAGCAAACAGG